UCUCUGUUGGUGAACCAGCGGAGGGAUCAUUACCGAGUGCAAACUCAUAACCCUUUGUGAACCUAUAUCUGUUGCUUCGGCGGCUCGCUCUCGGGCGAGCCCGCCGGUAAUAUCAGUAUCUCUGUUUGAACCCGACGAUACUUCUGAGUGUUCUUAGCGAACAGUUAAAACUUUUAACAACGGAUCUCUUGGCUCUA
rnacentral:misc_RNA from 1 species